GUUCCCUUCAGGUGUCUGCCACUGCAGCUGACGUUGAGACAACUCUCAGUCUUCCUGCAAGUCCUCGCCUGAUACCUGUUUCAAGUGCAACAAGGCAAGUCACAAUUAAGGGUUGGAUGAUCACCUUUAAGGGCUCUGAGGGCAUCACACCAACAUUUGCAAUUGGACUUGCUGCUAUGUUUGCAACCUACUACAUUUUCAGCCUUCAGUAUCAAGAUGAGACAGCCUGCCCUCUGGAAUUCAUUCAGAGGCACUUCAUUGAUAUAAAUCAAGAGAGAGGAACAAAUGCCAAAAUCAUCAGACAAGAUUGUCUCUAAGAAGAAAGGUGUGAUCGUCCAGAAGUCAUCUUCUGCAGUUAAAUACACACGUGGCCAUGCUACUGAAGAAUCUCCUUGACUUUUUAAUGGAACUUCAUAUAGAUCGUGGCAGCACUGGAAUAAUGCUGCAGAGAGGAACAGCGGCUACUAAAGUGAUGAUCGUCUCUUCUGGAUCCACAAGAACUAAGAUGUAAAAACACAAACCUACCUCACAGGACAAUUUUAAGAGGUAACCUGCAAGU